AACACAUGCAAGUCGAGGGGCAGCAUGGUCUUAGCUUGCUAAAGCUGAUGGCGACCGGCGCACGGGUGAGUAACACGUAUCCAACCUGCCGUCUACUCUUGGCCAGCCUUCUGAAAGGAAGAUUAAUCCAGGAUGGGAUCAUGAGUUCACAUGUCCGCAUGAUUAAAGGUAUUUUCCGGUAGACGAUGGGGAUGCGUUCCAUUAGAUAGUAGGCGGGGUAACGGCCCACCUAGUCAACGAUGGAUAGGGGUUCUGAGAGGAAGGUCCCCCACAUUGGAACUGAGACACGGUCCAAACUCCUACGGGAGGCAGCAGUGAGGAAUAUUGGUCAAUGGGCGAUGGCCUGAACCAGCCAAGUAGCGUGAAGGAUGACUGCCCUAUGGGUUGUAAACUUCUUUUAUAAAGGAAUAAAGUCGGGUAUGCAUACCCGUUUGCAUGUACUUUAUGAAUAAGGAUCGGCUAACUCCGUGCCAGCAGCCGCGGUAAUACGGAGGAUCCGAGCGUUAUCCGGAUUUAUUGGGUUUAAAGGGAGCGUAGAUGGAUGUUUAAGUCAGUUGUGAAAGUUUGCGGCUCAACCGUAAAAUUGCAGUUGAUACUGGAUGUCUUGAGUGCAGUUGAGGCAGGCGGAAUUUGUGGUGUAGCGGUGAAAUGCUUAGAUAUCACGAAGAACUCCGAUUGCGAAGGCAGCCUGCUAAGCUGCAACUGACAUUGAGGCUCGAAAGUGUGGGUAUCAAACAGGAUUAGAUACCCUGGUAGUCCACACGGUAAACGAUGAAUACUCGCUGUUUGCGAUAUACGGCAAGCGGCCAAGCGAAAGCGUUAAGUAUUCCACCUGGGGAGUACGCCGGCAACGGUGAAACUCAAAGGAAUUGACGGGGGCCCGCACAAGCGGAGGAACAUGUGGUUUAAUUCGAUGAUACGCGAGGAACCUUACCCGGGCUUAAAUUGCACUCGAAUGAUCCGGAAACGGUUCAGCUAGCAAUAGCGAGUGUGAAGGUGCUGCAUGGUUGUCGUCAGCUCGUGCCGUGAGGUGUCGGCUUAAGUGCCAUAACGAGCGCAACCCUUGUUGUCAGUUACUAACAGGUGAUGCUGAGGACU
rnacentral:rRNA from 1 species